UCUGCCGUUACCCAGUUAGUCUCUCUCUGUCACACCGCAAUACGUCACUAAUUGGGCAAUGGGUUGCGAUUGAUUAGGCUACCUGACAUAUUACCCACAGGCUUAUGUAUAGGCACCCGGGGUCCUAAAGCCGGUAGCUCGUCAACACCACUGGUUCUGGGAUUGUGUAGCAGAGUCACGGGUGCUGCGUGAAAUAAACAGGUAUGUCUGGGCAAAGGUUUCUUUAAGUUCUUCCGUCACUGAUUACUAGCUUGCUAAGUGGCUACUUGUUUAACUAUGGUAUAGGAGGGCAGACGCUGGCAGAGCCGCUGUGUUUUGAUGUACGUGUGUGGGCGUGACGCCGUGUGUGCAAAAAGUGUCUGCUGGGCACUGUUACCAUAGCAGAGAGGGCAGUUAUUCUCCAGAAGCCAUCAGCCACAGUGUAGUAGCCAUCUUGAAAAGCGUUAGACCCUCGCAGCUACCCAGGGCUGCUAGUUGCUGUUCUCUUUUAAUGUGUAUUUGAUGCAUUGGUGCCGCGUAUAGUUUGUUUACUUUUUUUUUGUUCCUCUAGCCUAUCGGCCUAAGUAGCUUGUGUAGGUACUACCUAUUUAAUGUGAGCCGCAGGCUAGAGUGGAUUUAUUUUGUUUGUUUUUCUUUUUUACUGUACUUCCAGUUCGUGUGUCUCCCUCCCCCUCCACAGCUAAUAGCCUCGGUGCUUAUAAGGCCCAUUAGUACCUGACCUUGGAUAGCCGGUCUCUGUAGUUUUUCUCACUCUAGUAGCCUACAGAGAUUGCAGUGUGCAUGUAGUUUGAACUCUUAAUUGCCGUGUCACAUAUCACAGAGUGUCUUGGAUAUUGUAGUGCAUUUUCCCUGAAUCUAAAACACGUGUUAUUUAGUGUGCACAAGACCACGUGUGUUAGAGACCUGGCCUGACAUCAGUUCUCCUAGUGGCCCAGUACCGAGGUUCCCCAGUCCCCCUAUUGUGUCUAUGUAUUUUUUUGUAUUAUAUCUGGUGACCAACCAACGCUACUCGUGUCUACUAUUUUUAUACUUUCACCAAAAACUGGCAAUAGUGUUAUUGAGUUCCCCUUGCUAUGACAUAAUUUAGCCCACUUCAAGGGGUGGCGUAGUCAACAGUACCCGAGAGGGCGCUACAUGUACAACUUCUCAAAUGGCCUCGAAUUUAUAGCUAAAGUUGCGUGUAACCGUUGGACGUCAUAAUCAGCACCAUAUGACGUCUUAUUAUGCGAACCGGGUGAUCCCUAAACUUGCCGAGCAAAGACAAUCCUGACAAAACGAAUUAUUUUCUGGUGUGUUAUGCAUGUACUAAAGUGUACAAGUUUAUCACUGAAAGACACCUACAUGGAUUUGAAAAAUCCGUAUAGGCUUAAUGUCAAUGUCAUUUUCUAAGAUUUUAAUAGUAAGGGGAAAUAUUAAAACGUAUUUACUGAAUAUAGGCCUAAUAUAUUGGUUAUUUUCCUGAACUAUCAACUGUAUACCUAUAUUCCUGAAUUCUCUAUAUCCGAUUUGGAUUUGACCAAGAGUUACAACAACUGCCACUGUGUUUUAUUUUUGUGUUCGUGUGCAGGCCCUCGUCAUGGUUGAAUAGGUCAUGUUAUGCAUUUAUUUGGAAAACUUUUCAAAACUGUUUUCAUUCAAUGACCAACAGUUACAACAACUGUUACUGCAGCCAGAUAGCGCAUAGAGAGAGAUUGUAAUGCAUAGUAUCCGAUAUAAUUCAAGUAAAAUGUCAAAACAAGCAUAUCUGAUGGCACUCUUUUUUUUCACAGCCAUGAGACAUACAGAAGCUGACAACUUGAACUUAUUUUGUAUUUUAUGAUGUCGCCAUCUACUGGCCACUGGUAUGGAGGUAAGCAGAAAAAGAUUGGUCAUGAAAUCAGAAGGCAGCAGUCAGGAGCUGGGCAGGCAGUAAUGGCAUUAAUCCAGUUAGUGGGUGAAAUAGAAGUCUGAUAAAAGCCCCUGUUGAUUACAGUUUUUUUUUUUUUAAAUUUUAAUGUAUGUUUAUGCUUUUUUUAACCAAAUAAAUAUGUUUGUAUGGAUUUAAAUGUUAUAGCUAUAAAGCUAUAUUUUUGUUAUUGGCCCCGGUUGUGUUCAUGAAUGUAUAACAUUUAUGUCGGAUUCAUCGUGCCAUUGAAAUGAAGGAUACCACUUUACUCAGCUACAGAUCACAGAUAAUUAUACAUGAACACUGUCCCCAGCAUAUGUUGUCUAUCAACCACAUUAAGCUGUCAAGCAGUUCAAAACUACAUAAUAUAUGUUAGUUUAUAUAUGUUACAGAGUUUUCCAACAGAUUCUUCAAAAGGAUAUUACUUGAAGAAGAUAAUAUAAGACUUUUUCUCAGAGGCAGAUUAAUUUAAGAUUUAUUAAAUGAUAAAAUACAGAAAUUGUUAUCUGAUUUCCCCAUUUGGAUAUAUUACAUAUAUGCCAUGUUGUAGUACUGGAUGUCCAAUAUUGCUAUUCAGUCUGUUCGGUGCAUUAUUCUAACAUUAAAGAGAGAAUGAAACACAACUUACAGUACUAUCACAAAAAGAAUUAUAUUUUGUAUGCAGAUAUGACUUUUAAAACAA